GAUUAGCAUCUGCCUGGGCCGAGU
rnacentral:miRNA from 1 species